rnacentral:rRNA from 1 species
UACGUAGGGGGCUAGCGUUGUCCGGAAUCAUUGGGCGUAAAGCGCGUGUAGGCGGCCCGGUAAGUCCGCUGUGAAAGUCGGGGGGCUCAACCCUCGGAUGCCGGUGGAGUACUGUCGGGCUUGAGUACGGAAGAGGCGAGUGGAAUUCCUGGUGUAGCGGUGAAAUGCGCAGAGUAUCAAGGAGGAACACCAGCGGCGAAGGCGGCGCUCUGGGCCGGAACUGACGCUGAGGGAGCGAAAGCGUGGGUAGCAAACAGG